rnacentral:tRNA from 2 species
UAGGCUGUUGGUGUAGUGGUAACACAGGUGGUCUCCAAAACCUCUGACGGGGGUUCAAUUCCCUCACAGCCUGU